UAUAUAUAUAUAUAUGCAAUAAGUAAAUUUGGUUACAAAAUAAAUCAACAAUAUGAAUAACGCGAGGACUGAGGAGGGAGGCUCACCUGCAGUAUGGAAACCCUCUAACUUGGGAAGAUGAGAAGAUUUUUUUAAUUGACGUGGGCGGGUUUAUCUGGGAUGAAAUCAUCUGUUAAGUUAGAUACCUACUACUGCAGUGAAUUUAUGUCUUUGUUUAAUGAGAAGUUUGAGAUGUAUUAUGGCGCAUUGGCGCAGGUGCAGUUAACUUGGUGAAGAGAGAUUCACUGAAAGACCUGGAUGAUACCUACGGUUUUUAGGAAUACUUGGCACAUCGCCAUAUUUAAAUGCCAUAGCCAUGGCAUUGGAUUUAUGUACCUAUGUUUAUAUAUACCUAUACCUAAUAUUAUUAUGUAACUGUGUUACUAUUUUUUGUG